rnacentral:rRNA from 1 species
GGAUUUACUGGGCGUAAAGCGCGCGUAGGUGGUUAAUUAAGUCAAAUGUGAAAUCCCCGAGCUUAACUUGGGAAUUGCUUCGAUACUGGUAGCUAGAGUAUGGGAGAGGAUGGUAGAAUUCCAGGUGUAGCGUGAAUGCGUAGAGAUCUGGAGGAAUACCGAUGGCGAAGGCAGCCAUCUGGCCUAAUACUGACACUGAGGUGCGAAAGCAUGGGGAGCAAACAGGAUAGAUACCCUGGUAGUCCAUGCCGUAAACGAUGUCUACUAGCCGUUGGGGGAUUUGAUCCUUUAGUGGCGCAGCUAACGCGAUAAGUAGACCGCCUGGGGAGUACGGUCGCAAGACUAAAACUCAAAUGAAUUGACGGGGGCCCGCACAAGCGGUGGAGCAUGUGGUUUAAUUCGAUGCAACGCGAAGAACCUUACCUGGCCUUGACAUAGUAGAAACUUUCCAGAGAUGGAAAGGUGCCUUCGGGAAUCUACAUACAGGUGCUGCAUGGCUGUCGUCAGCUCGUGUCGUGAGAUGUUGGGUUAAGUCCCGCAACGAGCGCAACCCUUUUCCUUACUUGCCAGCAUUUCGGAUGGGAACUUUAAGGAUACUGCCAGUGACAAACUGGAGGAAGGCGGGGACGACGUCAAGUCAUCAUGGCCCUUACGGCCAGGGCUACACACGUGCUACAAUGGUCGGUACAAAGGGUUGCUACACAGCGAUGUGAUGCUAAUCUCAAAAAGCCGAUCGUAGUCCGGAUCGCAGUCUGCAACUCGACUGCGUGAAGUCGGAAUCGCUAGUAAUCGCGGAUCAGAAUGCCGCGGUGAAUACGUUCCCGGGCCUUGUACACACCGCCCGU